rnacentral:rRNA from 1 species
UACCCUUGACAUGUAUGGAAGUCCGCUGAGAGGUGGAUGUGCCCGAAAGGGAGCCAUAACACAGGUGCUGCAUGGCUGUCGUCAGCUCGUGUCGUGAGAUGUUGGGUUAAGUCCCGCAACGAGCGCAACCCUUGUCCCUAGUUGCUACGCAAGAGCACUCCAGGGAGACUGCCGGUGACAAACCGGAGGAAGGUGGGGAUGACGUCAAGUCCUCAUGGCCCUUAUGGGUAGGGCUUCACACGUCAUACAAUGGUCGGAACAGAGGGUUGCCAAGCCGCGAGGUGGAGCCAAUCCCAGAAAACCGAUCGUAGUCCGGAUCGCACUCUGCAACUCGAGUGCGUGAAGCUGGAAUCGCUAGUAAUCGCGGAUCAGCAUGCCGCGGUGAAUACGUUCCC